rnacentral:lncRNA from 1 species
UGACGUGCAAUCGGGAAUUGGUGGAAUACAAGGGUAACGUGGCGUGUUAUCCACCGUGGGAUUUGGAGUGGUCCAUGGGACCUGGUCCAAGUAAUAAUUGGACCACCCUGAAGGGAUAUGCGGACGGACUUCUCUCACGUCCUGUUAAAUCCCGGUUUGAAGGAGCGGCGAACGAUCCGAACCAACUCCCCUCAAUCUCUCUUCUUCAUGGAUGCGGCCGGCGGC